rnacentral:lncRNA from 1 species
CAGCCGGGCAGGCGGCUGACUCCCGAGCCGCCUCCUCCUCCUCCUCCCUGGCUGCCGCCGCCAUGGCCGCCCCUGUCCCCGGGAUGUAGGCCCAAACCUGACCUCCUUGUCCUUGUACUCUUCCCGGCCUGGCGCCCUCCCGCCGCCUAGCCCUGACCCUCCAUUCCUCCUUCCCAUACUUUCUUCCUUGUGCCUCUUUCCCGGCCCCUACGCUCCCCUCAUCUCCUUUGAUGAUGCCUCUCGCCCCUUCCUCCACGCUUCCGCCUCCCUCUGCUUCCUCUCUUGGGCGUGUCCUCGCUCCCGCCUCAGCCCCCGGCCCGCUGCCUCCUUCGCCGUCUGCGGCCCGGGCUUCCCUUCCGCCCUGCUUCCUCUUCCGCCUUGCCCCUCUCGCUCGCUUUUCCCUUCCUCUUCCCCUUCCUUCGCUUCCCCCUCGUCACCCUCCCUUCCUGCAGCUUCUUCGCCUCUCCGCCCCCGCCCUCACCCGGGCCCGCCCUCACCCGGGCCCGCCAUUCCCGGCGGCCCCACACCCAGCGGCCCUGGCUGCCCAAGAGCAGCUGCGGGGCAGCCCGACGCGGAGCCCAGCCCGAGCCACCACCCUCCACUAGGUUUAAAACUGCUGACACACACACGGAGAAACGGGGGUGGGGGGGCUUCAAAGAUGGAGGGGGCAGCAUGUAUCAAAAUACAGCCUCCUGCUCUCUGGCCAUGGGGGAAAGAGCCCCAGGGAGCAAGAACUGGAACAAAUUAAGUGCCUUCUGUGUUCCUCAAGCCUUAGCUCUGGCCUGGAGUCUGGGGGUCUGCAGCACAGGGUGGCAGAGGGAGGGGUCCCCCUACAGGAAAGCCACACCUCAGAGCAGAAAACUCAGCCCCCAGCACCAGCCAAGGGGAGGCCCGAGGCCAGAGCUGUGUGUCUCGGUAGUCCAGAAGUGCUGGGGGAAGGGCUUUUAAGGAAUCACAUGCUCUUCACACUUAGAGGGGGGCCUGGCCUCUGGCCACACCUGCCCCUAGAGGACUUGUUUCCCAGCGGAGGAAGCCUGCUUUAGGGAAAGUGUGUGCACACAGGGUGUGAUGGUGCACACAGGGUGUGAUGGCGCACACAGGGUGUGAUGGCGUGCACCUGUAGUCCCAGCCACACACAGGGUGUGGUGGCGUGCACCUAUAGCCCCAGCUACGCGGAAGGCUGAGGCCGGAGGAUGGCUUCAGUCAGGAGUUCUGGGCUGUAGUGCACUACACACUAAGUUUGGCAUCAAUAUGGUGACCUCCCAGGAGUCGGGAACCAUCAGUUUGCCUAAGAAGGAGUGAAACAGCCAAGGUUGGAAAGGAAGGAGGUCAAAACUCCCGUGCUGAUGAGCAGUGGAAUUGCGCCUGUGAAUAGCCACUGCACUCCAGCCUGGACAACGUAGUAAGUCCCCAUCUCUUUUUAAAAAUAACUAUCUAAAUAAAUAUAAAUUAGAAAAAAAAAAAAAAAGGCUGGGCAUGGCGGCUCACGCCUGUAAUCUCAGUACUUUGGGAGGCUGAGGCAGGUGGAUCACUUGAGGUUAGGAGUUUGAGACCAGCCUGGCCAACAUAGCAAAACCCUGUCUCUACUAAAAAUGCAAAAAAUUAGCUGGACGUGGUGGUACACGCCUGUAGUCCCAGCACCGGCCCUGGGUUACUCAC